rnacentral:tRNA from 1 species
AGCUGCUUGGCGCAGCGGAAGCGCGCCGGGCUCAUAACCCGGAGGACCUCGGAUCGUAAGUUCACACUCAAAACAUCUG